UUGCCGUUGAGACAUAUGAGUCGGUAGUUUAAUCUCUAACGCAGCAAGUCUUCCUGGUUACCUGGAUGUAGAUGAUGUCACUGASUUAAACAAAGGACAAUGGGAGGAGACAGGGCUAUAAAAGGUGUUGCUCUGCGACACUCCUGUCAAACCUGCACUCCUGUCAAACCUGCAUCUAGUAGCUCCGUUGGUUACUGUGCGUACUGCAAGUCACCUGCCACACCUACUUAAGCAAUCAUGGUGAAGCGUGUUGCAGUUAUUCUGUCYGGCUGUGGCGUCUAUGACGGCACAGAGAUCCACGAGGCCUCGGCCGUCCUGGUCCAUCUGAGUCGCGCUGGCGCAAAAGUGAAGAUGUUUGCCCCAGACGGAGAUCAGAUGCA